GAUGAGUCUUGUGAAAGAGUAAUGAUCUACACAUAAUAUAUUUUCACAAUAUACUUCAUAAUAAAAUUAUAAAAUGAAGAUGUUUUUAUAAAUUAAUAUUACUUUUAUAAGGUAUUUUAUAAAAAUACCCUUCAUUUAACACAUUAUUGUAAAAAAUAUUGUGUCUAAAUCAUUUCUCUUUUAUUAUAGUAAGAAUUUUCUUGCAACCUGAGCUUGCUUUGCUGUCUGCAAAAACCUUCCUUCAUUUCCCUUGAUUUCUUUCAUUCCAAAGAAGAAAAACAUGGCUGAGGUGAGCUUGGCAUUUCUCUCUGCUUCACUCGGCGUGUUGUUUGAAAGAAUGACAUCUCGUGAGGUGCUUCACUUCAUGAAGGGAAGAAAACCAACCAAAGUGCUCUUAUGGAAAUUGAACAAUGCUAUGCUGUCUGUGAAGGCUGUGCUUGAAGACGCGGAGGAAAAGCAACUUACGGAUUCUGUUGUGAAAGUCUGGGUUGAUGAGUUGAAGAAUGUUAUAUACGACGCGGAGGACAUCUUCGAUGAGAUUGCUACUGAAGACCUGCAAAGAAAGCUGCAGGACGCUGAAUCUCCUACCUUGGGAGGAAAUUUACGAAACUCCUUCUCUGCUUUGCUUGAGCCUUUUUUCAAAAAGGUAGAUAAAAAAGUUGAAGAGGUACUUGAUAGACUUGAAGAUCUAACAAAGCAAAAGGAUUGUAUGGGUCUACAUGAAGUAGUAGGAGUUGGAGGAAAACAAUAUCCAGAAAGGUUGUCCACUUCUUACGUCUCACAGUCCGACACUUUCGGUAGGGAUGAGGACAAGAAAAAAGUCAUUGACUUAUUGCUCUCGUCUGAUGCGAGUGGCAAUGAAAGGUGCGUGAUUACCAUCAUUGGCAUGGGGGGAAUCGGCAAGACUACCCUUGCUCAACUGGCAUACAAUGAUGGUAGGGUGAAAGAACACUUCAACCUUAAAAUAUGGUUUUGUGUUUCAGAAGAAUUUGUGGUACCCAAUGUAAUGAAAUCCAUUAUAGACCAGUCUGCAACUUCGUCAGCUCCUUCUACUGAGGAUCCAGAGCAGCUUCAAGUUAUUCUAAAGAAGAAUUUGCAGGGGAAGAAAUUUCUCCUUGUUUUGGAUGAUGUUUGGAGUGAGAAACCCUGUCAUCACGAGUUCCUAAGCCAACUCUUGUACUAUGGGACUCGAGGAAGUAAGAUCAUUGUCACCACAAGGAAUGAAAGCGUUGCAUUGGCCAUGAAGGCAACUGCAACUCAUCGUCUAAAGUUCUUAACAGAUGAUGAUUGCCGGUUCCUUUUUGAAAAACAUGCAUUUCGUGAUGGUAGCUCCAACGCAGAUCCAAAGAUAAAAGAUAUAGGUGAACAAAUUGUGAAAAAGUGCAAAGGUCUACCUUUAGCAAUCAAAGCCAUUGGCGAUCUCUUGUGGUCUGAAUCAAAUGUCGAGAGAUGGACGAAUAUAUUGAAGAGCAAUUUAUGGGAUCUUCACAUGGAGGGGACAAACAUUCUUCCGGCUUUGAGGUUAAGUUAUAAGUAUCUCCCCUCAUAUUUAAAAAGAUGCUUUGCUUAUUGUUCGAUAUUCCCAAAAGAUCAUAUUUUUAAAAAAGAUCAAUUAGUUUUAUUCUGGAUGGCGGAAGGUUUCUUGCAACAAACCGAAAAAGAAACUAUGGAAGAAGUUGGAAAUCGUUAUUUCGAUGCUCUUGUAUCAAGAUCAUUAUUUCAAUAUGAAUCACCUGAAACUAAGUCAAGUUUUGUAAUGCAUGAUCUUGUAAACGACUUGGCAAAUUUCGUGACUGGGCAAUUUGGCUUUAUGCGGUUGGAGGGUGAUAGUUCAAAAGAAAUUGGGAAGAUGACUCGCUAUUUAUUGUAUUUCGGUGGAAGUUCAGAUAACUCUGAGAAGAUUGAAAAUGAUCUUUACAAGGCCAAGCAAUUGCGCACUUUCCUAGCAUUAGAUUGUAAACUAGGGAGUGAAAUCGAAAUGCCAAGGGCACGGUGCUUAUCCGGGUUAACUAAGUUCUCUGAUUCAAUUAGCAAAAUGAAACAUCUACGUUAUUUGGAUUUUUCUAAUUGCAAUAUUAGCAGAUUGCCCAACUCCAUAUGUAUGUUGUGCAAUUUGCAGACGUUGAAGUUAUCACGGUGUAAGGAGUUGGAAAGAUUGCCAAGAGAUACGUGUAAACUCAUUAAUUUACAUCAUCUUGAGAUUGAUGAAACUGUCAAAUUAAAGGAGAUGCCGAUACAAAUGGGUAAACUUAAAUGCCUUCAGACGUUAUCCAAAUUCAUCGUCAGCAAACAUGACAGUGGGUCUAGCAAUAUUGGAGAAUUGGAAAAACUAAUAGAUCUUCGGGGAAAGCUUUUAAUUCAAAAACUCCAAAAUGUUAGAUCAGCCAAUGAUGCUUUGGAUGCAAGCUUGAAGGAUAAGCGUUAUCUCGAGGAGUUGGUGUUAGAAUGGAAUCCUCCAGAAGAAGUACUUGGUAUUUCGGAAAGUCAAAAAGGUGUUCUUGAAAAUCUGCAGUCACAUGAAAAAUUGAAAAGUCUCACCAUUAACCACUACGGUGGGGAAGGUUUGGAUUGGAUAGGACUGGGGCUUCAUUCAUUGUCUAGGUUGAACUUAAUUGAUUGCAAAUAUUGUAGUGCCUUGCCAUCUCUUGGGCAGCUACCUUCUCUUAAUGAACUCUACAUUGCUGGGUUUGAUAGAGUUGUUACUGUGGAUCAAGAGUUUUAUAUAAAUAAUUGUUCUUUUCGGAAUCCAUUUGGAAGACUGAAACUUCUAAGGUUGGAGCGUAUGUCGAAUUGGGAAAAUUGGUUUCAUUUGAAUGUCCAAAAUGAAGUCAAAACUUAUUCUCAACUCGAAGAGUUGUAUAUUAAGAAGUGCCCCAAGCUAAGAGGAAUGUUGCCUAUACAUCUUCCUUCGUUAAAAAAACUUGGGAUUUCUGAAUGUCGACGUCUCAAGGCUUCGCUCUCCAUAGAAUCUUUCCAAGUACUUACCCCUAAGGGAAUAACAGAGUGUGGUAAUUGGGAAUUAUUUGCACUUCCUGAACAACAUAAACAUGAUGGAAUAGUGGAUUUUAAUAAUUGUCUUCAAGAAUUACGAAUCCGUAGGUGUUCCUCACUUGUGUCCCUUCUCAAGGAAGGUUUACUCUCUCCAUUGGAAGUACUUGAGAUCGAUGAUUGUGAUUCUCUAGUGUCCUUUCCAUUAUACCUAUUCUCAAAUCUGAAGUAUAUUCAAAUCAAGGGGUGCAGUAAUUUGAAAUCUUUGGACAAGCACAUGCCAGAAGAGAGGUUCCCAGCCUCCCUUCGUUUUUUAGAGAUAAGGAAUUGUCUUUUGUUGGAAGAAAAGUUGAAAAGGAAAGAAGGAAAAGAAUGGCUCAAGGUGGCUCGCAUCCCCAACAUAAUCGUUAGUUACGAACGAAUUCAAGGAGAUGAACGGUUUCCAGCUUCCAGAAGUCCGGAUGAUCAAUUUAGUUCAAUGGACACGGAGUCCUCCCAUGUGGUACCGGACCAAUAUGAUCGUGAGUGGGACAAUUGUAUUGUCAAGUUGGUGGAUGAUGGAAUAGUGGACUUUAAUAAAUGUCUUCAAGAACUACGAAUCUAUAGUUGUUCCUCGCUCAUGUCCCUUCUCAAGAAUGAUUUACGCUCUUCAUUGAAAGUACUUGAGAUCAAUGAUUGUGAUUCUCUAGUGUCCUUUCCAUUAGACCUAUUCCAAAAUCUGAAGAGUAUUCAAAUCAAGAGGUGCAGGAAAUUGAAAUCUUUUGAUUUGAAUACUCCAGAACAACAUGGUGAUCAUCAUUUAGUGAAAGGUGGGAUGCGCAUAUUCCUUCAAUCUCUUUGUUAUUUGGAAUUAGUAGAUUGUCCAGAAGUUGAGUCGUUUCCAGAAGGGGAUCUGCCUUCCAAUUUGAAGCAAAUUGUGAUCUGUCGGUGUAAGAAACUCAUUGCAAACUGGAAGGAACGGGAUUUGCAAAUACUCCCGUCUCUUGAAUGGUUGGAAAUAAUUUGGGACGACAAAUUAGAAGAUGAUGUGAAGUCCUUUCCUGAGAGAUUGUUGCUGCCCACUACUUUGACCAAUCUUAAGAUCUCUUCAUUUGGAAAUUUGGAAUCUUUGGACAAUAAGGGGUUUGAACGCCUGGCCUCCCUUGUACAAUUGGUAAUCCAUUAUUGUCCAAAGCUCAGGUGCAUGCCAAAAGAGGGGUUCCUUACCUCCCUUCGUUUUUUACAUAUAGGGAACUGUGGUCCUAUAUUGACGAAAGAGUUGCAAAUGAAAGAAGGAGAAGAAUGGCUCAAGGUGGCUUCCAUCCCCAACAUAAGAAUUGAUUUUGAAAGAAUUCAAGGAGAUGAUGAAUGGCCAGCUUGGAAAAGUCCGUAUGAAUCAAAUGGUUUAACGAACACGGAGUACUCCUCCCAUAUGGUACCGGGCCAAUAUGAUCGUGAGGGGCUGGACAACUCUAUUAUUGGCGGGAUUGUGGAUGCAUUAGAUAAAAUCAUAUCCGGUGCGUAAAUUAGAUUUGAUUCAUGAGAAGUGAAGAUAUUUGGCAUUUUGAGAUCAAUCAAGUUUUCCGUGAAGAGAAUGGUUUGGUAAAUUUGGGAGCUGCUAGCUGCUAGAUCAUGUGAAACCUCCCUUGCUUCUGUUGCACAACUUCCGGCUAAAUGCUUGCUAAUUCCAUUACAUUGAUAAAUGGGACUUCAAAAGUGAAUCAUGGCCGCAUGGCUAGCUAGUUUUGGAUGUGUCAUUAGAAAUCAUGAUGGACUCCCUCUCUUUAAACACUAGUUUUAUGCUUUUCUGUUAUGAUAAAUAGUUCGAAAAAGAAGUAUUAAUGUAUGAAUUAGUUUCUAAGACUAUAUAGUUCUUGCAAGACCUUGGGUUUUAGAUUAAUAUAACCGGCCCCCAAAGUUCUUCUCUCGAUUGUAAAAAGUAUUCAUCCGCCAUAAGUGAGGGUUAUCAAUAAAAUUGGAGAUACCGUCUCUCUUAUGGAAAAAAAAAAUCAUGUUUAUUGACCUCAAUUUUGAC